AUUGAACGCUGGCGGCAGGCCUAACACAUGCAAGUCGAACGAGUGGCGGACGGGUGAGUAAUGUCUGGGAAACUGCCUGAUGGAGGGGGAUAACUACUGGAAACGGUAGCUAAUACCGCAUACCAUCGGAUGUGCCCAGCUGGGAUUAGCUAGUCGGUGGGGUAAAGGGUCACCUAGGCGACGAUCCCUAGCUGGUCUGAGAGGAUGACCAGCCACACUGGGACUGAGACACGGUCCAGACUCCUACGGUAGGCAGUAGUGGGGAACAUUUCGCAAUGGGCGCAAGCCUGAUGGAGCCAUGCCGCGUGUAUGAAGAAGGACGUCGGGUUGUAAAGUGCUUGCAGCGGGGAGGCGUUACCCACAGAAGAAGCACCGGCUAACUCCGUGCCAGCCGCCGCGGUAAUGC
rnacentral:rRNA from 1 species